UUUAAACAUUGGCCAACCAUCCACAAGAAAUUGGCAGACACUUCUCAGAAACCUUUUCUGGGAACAUGUAGGCUUCACAGCAGAGUACAAGAGGCACCCUAUACAGAUGGUUUCAGGAACUAAAUUUCAGCAAGGAAGCAAUUCAUAACAGAACAACACUAACCACAGCCCACUUUUUGCUGGACCAGAAGAAAACAGGUAUUUCAAAUUUUCUCAUUAAUUCACACAUAACCUAGGACUCAAACUUUAUUCCAUUAGUCUAACUGUGUGUUUCUAAGUGUACUCUUGUGAACAAAACUAUGCCUUUUUGAUGAUCUUGUGAAGAGUAUUUCUUAAGUUAAAAAUGUGUUUAGGAAUGUUGGAAAUUUGUCUCUUGGUAUUCUUAGUACACAUAUUACACUUGAUCUUAGCCAAAAGGCCGAGAAGCGAUCUUAGUACACAUAUUAAAGACCUUGAAAAUUUUAAAAUAAAGAAACUUGAUUAACUUUGUUUGAAGAAGCAGUUUCAAAAUUAUAUCUGACCCACAGUUUAUUUUUUUCAUGGAACAGCAUCAAUUUCUCAUGCCAUUGUAUAAUCUUUGUAUAAGUAUUUUCUCUAAAUCAAGAGUUGGCAAACUAUAGCCCAUGAACAAAGUAUACUCAGAAACUUUGUGAAUCCUAUAGCUAAAAUGUUUUUCAUGUUUCUAAAAGAUUGUAAAAAAAAUACAUAAAUGUGCAUCAUGAAUGUUUGAAUUUUAAAUUUUAAAAUUUUUACCUCUUAAAGUUUGUAUUCUCUGGUUCUUUACAGAAAACUUUGGCGUAUUUCUGUUAAUCUAAGUAAACAAUAUUAACAUAAUUUAAGUAAAUACAUAACACUGAUUAAAAGUUAUAUAAAUAAAAAUGAUAGUAAUUUGUGUUUUAAUUUAAAUAUUACUCCUUUUCACAGUGAGUGCAGGGUACUGCAAUACUGCUUAUGCCCAAAGCAGGCUGUAAGCAGUGCAGGCUGAAGAGUUAAUCCUAUAAUUGGCUUGUUUAUAGAAGUGAGUUUGACCAAAGCCUACAUGCUGAGGUCAGAGUAACUUGCAUCCAAAUUCCAUUCCCAAACUAAAACCUUCUUAACUAGAAGGACAAUGUUCUAAUUGCAAUCAUAUAUUUUGUGCAUUCUGUUCCUAAAUCAAGAGUGCUUUGUCUUAUCCUUUAUGAGCCUUGCUCCCAUUAGUUUCCAUAGAAUCCACACAGUCCACACAUCUUUACAUGUAGUCCUAUCCUUGUGCAUAGCUUGCCUUUACCCCAAUUGAUUACCAAUAAAAAUCAGUGGCUUGGACUGGCCAGCACCUUUGUCAGUUGCAAGGGCAUAGGUGGUCCUGGUUCCCUGAUUUCUAUCUUUCUUCAUUCUUUUAGUUUUUUUCCUCAGGCUUGCUUCGUACAAUAAACAGGAGACUGGAGCCUACUGCAGGGGUUUCCAGUAACGUUUCAGGGACUUUCAAUAGUGAAAGUUUAAAAUUCUCUUAUAAUUUAAAUUUCUCUUGUAGUUGUUUUGAAACAUGCAACACAUUAUUAUUGACUAUAGCUACCAUGUUAUGCAAUGCGACAGAAUUUAUUCCUCCUAAAUAAAACUUUUUAUCUAUUGACCAAAUAAUCCUUUUUCCCUGUGAACUCUUCCAACCUCUGAUAGUCACUAUUCUACUCUCUAAUUCUAUAAACAGAAGUUUUUAUAUCCCUCAUAUAAGUGAGAUCAUACAGUUAUUUGUCUCUCUGUACCUGGCUUAUUUCAGUUUACAAAAUAUCCUCUAAAUUCAUUCGUGUUGUUAAAAGUGACAGAAUUUCCUGUGUGUUCUUGAAGGCUGACCAGUAUUCUGCCCUGCACACAUUAUAUACCACAUUUUCAAUCCAUUCAUCUCUUAAUGGACACCUAGAUUGUUUCCACAUCUUAGGUACUGAAAUACUGCAAUGAGUAUAAGAGCGCAGAUAUCUCUUUAACCUGUUGAUUUUAAUUGUCACAUAUAAUAAUUAGUCUAAUUUGAUUAUUCCACUGUGUACAUACAUAUCAAAACAUCACAUCGUACCAUAUAUAAUUAUUUUCCAGUUAAAUAUAAAAUAAAUUUUGAAAAAUUAUUAUUCCUUUAAAUAAUUCAAACUUUAGUUAUUGAAAUGAAAAGCAUAACAGUGAAAAGAUUAGAUGGUUUAGGAGUCUCUUAAAAGCUUAAAUCUUCAUAUUUAAUGUCCACAUCCAGGAGCAACAUUUCAUUGGAUAAAAUAAAGAUAAACUUUAAUCUACUCAAAAUAACUUUGAGAUAGUUGUGCACAUGUGUCAGCACUCAGGAGGCUCUGACAGGAAGAUAGAAAGUUAGAGCCCAGCCUGUGCUACAAACUGAGUUCAAGGCUAAGGUGAGCAACAUAAUGAGACCUGGCCUCAAAUCAUUUGAUUAGUAAGUAAAAUAAAUAAGAAAACAAAUAAAUAAAAAACCUUCCUUUGAAUCCUAUGCCAAUUGAAGAAUUUCUAUUCUCAUAAAAUCACAUGCAAUCUCCUAUAGUCACUUAUAACGUAAGUAGCUUGAGCUCAUUGCUUAGUUUAUUGGGGGAGAGUUUCAAAUUAACUAAUAAUUUAAAUACUUUAGAUUCUCAAGAUGAACUGCAACUCAGCUCUGUAUUAAUUGGACAUCUGGAGAAGUAACUGUAUUUGAAACCUUUUCAAGACAUGGUUCCCUUGUUUAAAAACUCCUUUUGAGAUGUAAACUUUUUAGAUAAAAGGAAGGUCCCAUAUGUGAAAUUUGAUAGAUCUUCCAGGGAUUUCUUUCUGCUCUUUGCUCUUCCCUUCCCUUUCCACUACUGUGUAACUGAUUCCAACAUCUUUUGGCUUCCUAUGUCUUAUGGUUCUGUGAAUUGACUGGGAUUUAUGGAUAGUUAUUGUUUUGGAUCUUUUAUGCAAAACAACUACACCUUGCAGGUACAUCUGGUGUGCUGAAGGCUUAUCUCAGCUGCACAUUAUAGAGGAAUAGUCUCUAAGCUUUGGACCCCAGGGGCCAAUUUUUUUGAAAACAAUGUUUGUAUUUACUGGGGUAGGGAGAUGGUUUUGAUAUAAUUUAAGUCAAUUAUACUUAGUAUACACUUUAUUUCUAUUAUUAUUACAUUGUAAUAUGUAAGUAAAUAAUGAUACAACUGACCAUAGUGAAGAACCAGGAAAUCUGAUCUUAUUUUCAUGCAACUAGAUGAUCCCAUCUGGGGGUGUUAGAAGACAAUGACACUCGAAAUGUGUUGAUUAUAUCCAGUCUCCUCUAUAAUCUCGCUUUAGUAGCUGUCACUGCAGAAAACCCUACUUUACAAAGAUAGAAUUUUGAAAAUGCAAGCAGGUUUUUCAGUACUUUUGUGGAAAUAUCAUAAUAUUCUAUCUUGACUUUAUUUUUAAUAGUUUAUUAGUAUAUGUAUGCAGUACAUAAUGAUUACAUUCCUCAUCAUGUACAUAAUUUAUUCUAAUUCUUUUUUCCUUUUCCUUCCCUUCAUCCUCUCCCAUCCCUUGUUUCCCUUCCCAUUUGAACAUUUUCAUCCUACUUCCCAAUAUCUAUCAUUCAUUUUGGUCCUUAUUUGUGCUUUUGGUUUCUCACACAAGAGAAACAAUGUGAUAUUUAAAUAUGUGUGUCUGAUUUAUUUCACUUAAAUGUAUGGUCUCAAGGUGCAUCCAUUUACCUAAAAAUGUAUCACGUUUAUCCUUCUUUAUGGUAGAGUAGUGUCAGCAUGGAGAUUCCUCAAAACAGUGAAAUUAGAGAUUCCAUUUGACCCAGCUAUUCCCCUUCUUGGUAUCUUCCUGAAAGAGUUAAAAGCAUCAUAUACCACAGUGAUAUAUACACACCCGUGUCUAUAGCAGCACAAUUUGUAAUAGCUAAAUCUUGGAAAUAUCCCAGAUGACCAUCAACAGAUGAAUAGAUAAAGAAAAUGUGGUUUUUAUAUACAGUGGAGUACUACUGUAUCUUGACUUUAAUCUAGAAGGUAUGGAGAUUUGAAAUUGUCUCAAGCAUACUUGUAAAGCCACAAUCAUUUGCUAUCUCAGUUUUUCCUCUUGUACCACAGAUAAAGUUGAAUCAUCUGGCUUAAUCACAAAUGGGCCAUGGAACCAUUCUUUCCCAGUUCAGGAGUCUUUUGUGUUGGAAAAUAAUGCUGAAACUCUUUUGAAAGCUGAGAUAAGUGAUCAUGCACCAGCUAGGAGAAAGAAGCCCCUGGCAAGUCUCUUUCUAAGUCUCUGGUAAUUUUUGAAACAUGUCAAAAAUCCCAAUUUCAUUUGAUACCCCCAUAAAUUCAAUUUGGCUUUGAAUGAAUCCACUUUAUGUGCAAAAUGAACAUAGUGGUUCUCUAAGUUGACAGGUUGAGUUCACUGAGGAGACUGACUGUCACACAGGUGGGAAAGUUUUGGGACCCAUUCUCUGUCAUUGAACUGUGCUGCCAGUGGUGACUCUUUUAUAAAAGAAAUCUCUUGAUUAGCUCUCAUAACUCAAAAAUCUGGCCAGUUAUCUACCUUAGGAAAGCCAUCUCACUUCAGUGUAUAAGUGAAGAUGUAUGUGCUCUGUGUCCAUCUCCUUACAUAGCUGCACAAACUGAUGUGAGAUAAGGGCAUGUACUUUAAUGUAGUUGCUAAUUUUAAUCACACCCUGCAAAAUAUUGUUAAAUUCAGGUGACAUUUUAAAGCUAGCCAGCAUUUCUCUAUUUCUUUGUGAAUGACACAGUGCCUAGACUCACAUUCAGAAGCAAUUUCUUUAGUUUACAAGUGUAAACAAGAAAGCCAUCCAGUCAUGGAAGCCACUCUGUCCUUCCAUAUACUGUCACAAAAUGACCAACUGAGCUUUCCAGAUAUGUAAUCAUGCAAAGACUUGAUUAACUCUGCAGCUGUGGUAUUGGAUGGCAGUACAAGCACACAUAACAUAACUUCAUACUUAUCCUGCUGAAAAAUAUAUUGCACAAGAACAAGCAUUGCUGCUUUGUUGUCAGUAUUGGUGGACUGGUAAAUCUGGAUUGGAUAUCAGAGGGGCUCAUUCAUUCUCUGUAACAAUUGUGUCUCAAUAUCCUCUGUUAUUUCAUCAAUUCAUCUAGUUGUGGUGCUACAUGAAACAGGAGCACAUGCCAUCAUGUGAGCUGGAGCCUUUCCUAAAAUUUCAUACCAAAUGUUCUUAGCAGCAGGCACAAUCAAUUAUGCAAUUGCAGAGAGCUUCAUAUCUUUAGCAAUAUGGUUAAUCAUGAGAAUGGUGCUCUUAGUGCAGCCAUAUUUUAUAAAGUGGUGGCAUUCAGUAAUUGAUUUUGUUCUUUGUGUUCUUUUUUUUUUCUUUUGAAAAUCUCCAAAAGCUUUUCUUUUAAUACAUGUUGCUUGGUCUUCAUGUGACAAAGAAGCUUUGAAGGUUUUACCUUCCUGCAAUGAGCCAAUAAUUUAAGUAGGACUCUUGGUAGUUUCUUUUAAAUGAAGCUUUCUUUUUGUUGGCAGUCAUAGAGUCUUCUGCUAUCUCAUCACUGGAUCCCCCCCCCCUUCCCUGCCCUUCAAAGAAGCUUUCUAGUAUUCUUUGUUUUUUACUCAUUUUGGCUAAUGUUAGCUGUGGCCUUACCAAAACUGUUACUAAAUGAGACAAAUACGCAGUGCAGGAAAGUGGUCCAGACAGAAGUGGUAAAUAAAAUAAUGGGCAGACUACACAUGGACUAAAAUAAGUGUUAGAUUCUGGAUUAAAGCCUGACAACAGCUGUAGCUGUACAACUGAAGUAUAUCAACUCACUUGCCACUAUAAAGCCUGCCACCAGAUGCAGCUUAAUUGUCACUUGUCUCUCACUGAGUGGGUUUUUGACAGAGUCUGCAAGCAACAGAUUUAGUAUGGUCACUGCAUAGCCAAACCUCUCUCUUAAUGUUAGUCUGUAUUUGCAGCUGCUCCCCAGUGUUGGCAUCAUCUCCUUAGCUCCACCUCAGAUCAUCAGGCAUUAGAUUCUCAUCUGGAGUGCAAGCCUAGAUACCAGGCCUGAACAUUCGAGAUAGGGUUAGUGCUCCAGUAAGAAUCUAAUGCCCCUGCUUAUCUGACAGGAGGAGGUCCUCAGGUGGUAAGGUGAGUGAUGAGGAGUGGCUGUGAAUAUAGAUACACAUUUAUUCUUUGGCGCCCUGCUCACUUCCUGCUGUGCAAGCUGCUUCCUAAAAGGGCCAGGAGUAGGAGACCCCUCUCCUAGAGGAUUUACUCACAUGGCUAGCAGUUGAAGCUAGCAGUAGACUUGGAGCUCAUCUGAGACUGCAGGCUUCAAAAUCUAUAAGCAUGUAGCUUGGACUCCAUGUGGCUUGGACUUCUCAUCACAGGGGAGCUAGAUUCAGAACAUGAGCAUGCAAGAGACCAAGAAGAAUCUUGAAAGGACUUUGUCUCAGAAUUCCAGAAUGUCCUUUCUAUAGCUUUCCAUUGGUCAAACAAGUUCCUAAUUCAGUUUUGAGGGUAGGAGAAUUAGCUCCCAUAUCCUGAUGUGAAGGAGAGCAUGAAGGUACAGGAAGGGAAAGACAUAGUGUUCAUUCUUUGAGGUCCAUCUUUCCUAUUUAUUCAUCUAAAAUGCUUUACCAUUCCAAGUCAAUGGCAAGUAUAGUGAUGAGACAGCCCCCUUUUAAUUUCUCAUUGCAAGGAAUUGAAGCUGAUAUCUGUUUGCAGUAGCAGAAUAGAAACUAAAAGCUUAAGUGAAUUCUAGUUUUCUUUCAAGAGGAAGUGUGUUAGCACGGCAUAAGGUUGAAACUGCUUUUAAUUUUCAUGGCACUUUCCUAUCAUAUUUUAGAUGACUUAAUUUACCAUGGAAUAUAAUGAAAUCUGGAUUAUACUCUGUACACUGUUUCCAUAAAUCCAAAAUUGAUGUGAUUCUGCAAACACAAGCAGUACACACAACUAGGUAGUGUGCUUAUUGGGGGUGAGUAUUGAGAGCUUAUUUGUUUACAGAAUUAAUUUAAAGCUAUAUGUAUACAGACUGAUUCAUUGCUUAGGGAUAAUUCUGAAAGCAAUUGAUUUGAUUAAGUGUAUCUGUCCAUUUAUUUAGCCAGGUUGUAUAUUUUUCCUGUUUUAUAGCCUAAAGUGAGGAGUAAAUAGAGGAAAAGGAGGACUAUCAAGACGGCUUCACAUUCAUGAAAGAUCUUAAAUUUAGAACUGGAGAUUUUUCUUCAAAUGAAAUUAUACAUCUAGAGAGAUAUCCAGGUGUAGAUGAAAAAGACAUUCAUUGUAUAGCAGUAGAACAAAAUUCUUGGUUCAAUUCCUAACUUGAAAUUCAUUAAAAAACUUGUAGUAUGUGAGAAUUAUUUUUUUCAGUGCUGGGAAUGGAUCCCAGAACUUUGUGUACGCUAGGCAAGUACUUUACCACUGAGUUAAACACCCAGCCCCACAACUGUGUUUUACUAAAAUUGAAUCCUACAACUAUCUUGUUUUUGUUUGUUUUGCAGCACCACGGAUUGAACACAAGGCCUUCAUACUGAACUUCAUUCCCAGUCUUUUUUUAUCUUUUAUUUAAAGACAGGUCUAACUAAAUCACUAAGUUGCCCAGCCUGGGUUUGAACUUGGAUCCUCUGGCUUCAGCCUCCCAGAACGCUGGGAAUACCAGCUUCCCACACCACCCCAAGGUGUGAAUGAAUGGUACCACUGUAUUGUUAUGCAUUUGUGUGUGUGUGUGUGUGUGUACAUGCAUAUGUUAAAGUUCUUAUUUUUUCCAAAAUUAACAAGUCAAAUUGGUCAUGAUUUUUAACUCUAUUUUGACCUUUAUUUUCUUUAGUUCCCAGAGUACCUCAAAAGAUGGCAGUGCCUCAUCUUGACAUCAAAAAGUCACACAUUUCCCUUUUAGGAGGUCACCCCUACCCCUGCACGUUUAGUGGCCAGAGCGAUGAUAGAAAAGGCUGCUCUAUCUGUCCAAUAUUGGUAACUCUCCUUUACUUUACAUGCUUAUCUUCUUAGCAGCUGAUUUAAGGAAUCUGUUUGUUGGGAAAGUCUAGCUCUUCUGAGAAAAAGCUUUUGAUAUGUGGCUGCCACACAGAAGUCAGCUUUAAGCUGGUCUCCACAUUCACAUAAAAAGUGGAAGAGAACAUUAAUAAUUUCGUGGGAAUAAGGGACAAUGGCAAUUGAACAGUGAGUAUAGAGGCAGUUUCAAGAGGAGAAGACCUCCAAACCCAAAGAAAUAUAUUACAUUGUUUCCUAAAUAAAUGAUUGUUAAAAUGCUUGCUUUGGCAAAUUGUACAUUGCUCAUAAAUGCCUUUGUGUGAGUGUUCUUUUUGAGAAACUCAGAACAACAAGGGCAAUGAGAUGACUGGCAAUUUGAACCACAUAAUGGUGCAAAAUAAUUGAGUGAGGAAGGGUUAUAGAGUGAGACCCAGGAGGACAGAAAAUGAACAGCCUGUGUUCCAGGCUACUACAGCACAAGCAAUGGCUUGAUGAUGAGAAGCAAGAGGCAGGGAUUUUUUUUAAUCUACAGGGAAAGUAACCUAUCCUUACCUUUUCUCCAUCAAUGCCAGGAAGCUCACCCCACACUUUGCUAUGGAAAAUCACAAUCAGCAUGGGCUUAAAACCAGUCUUUGGUACCACACAGACCAGAGCCCAUAGCCUGGGUCUUUCACAUGAUAACACUGUGACAUUUGACAAGUUCCUUAUCUCCUGCCUCAGUUUCCCCCAGAGUGUAUUAUGGUUAGUGAUACCCAACUUAAAUUGUUUCCACGAGACUUAAAUGUAUAAAACAUUCCUUCCAAAGACCCAAAUAUAGUAAGGGUUCAAUGCAUGACAGCUCUCAACAUUAGUAAUAGUAACAUCACAAUUAUGAAAGAUGUUCAGAUAUUAGCUGGGAUAAUAUACAAGUACCAUUUGCUUUGAAGGAACAUUGUGCUCUGGCAGUUCCCUAUUUUCAUGGAAUUUGGCAAUAACAGCUCUGAACUCAAAUAGCUAAUGCAAAAGACACAGACUUGGUGAUUUUUUAAAACUAAACUCUGAGACUUAGAGACACUACAUUCUCUGAAGUUAGAAAUCAGGCUUUGGAAAGCAAAUACAAAGAUACAAGUAAGACCAGUGUGGAUCAUGGACCAAUGGAACCUCAUAAGGGAGGCAGGAGAGAAACAAAUGGAACCCAUGAGAUUUUGAGCUAAAAGUGAUCAAAGUGACUUAGAAAGUCCCUUAGGUCAGACAUUGAGAAUUGGACCCUGAGGCCUGGAUCAGUGUGUUCCCAGGAGGAACUGGGGAGGAUGUAAGGAAGAAAAACAAGGAAAAUGAAGGGCAAAAGACAAGCAAGGGUGCUGUUUUGGAGUUCCAACCUGAUCUCAUGAAGCUCUGAAGUUAAUUUACAGGUUGUUGUAAGGGCAUUGGCUUUUGUUAUUCCACAUCUGUUCAUGUUUAGCACCUUCCAGCUCUCUCUACAGGGAAGCAACAAGAAGCAGAGUGGAGACCAUUGCUGGAGACCAGUCACCCUGGCCAGAGUGUAAGUGUAGUCACUCAUGGCAUAAUGUUUACUGGCACCACCAGAACAGUCCAACUAGUCAUUAAAAUGAAAUGAUUCUGCACAGUAACAGGUUGCUAAACAGUCACUGCUCCAAAUCCCUUGAAUAGCCUCUGGCCAUUAUGCUGCUCAAGCCCACCAACAAGACCCUUCAGAUCUCCUCAGAUGUUGUCACAUGCUAAACUAAUUAUUCAGUGUCCUACCAUGGAGGCUGCAGAGAGUUUGGAAUAUCACCUAUGAUUGGGUCUUGUAGAUUAUCAGUAUAUAUUCUCAUAUAGUGUUGGUCAUUUCCUUCAUGAUAUUGUAUACAUGUUCCUAAACUCUGUCACCAAAAGAGACAAAUUCCAAAGCAUUAUAGGAGAUGACUAAGGCUGUAAAUUUGGGGAUUUUUAUAGGUUAAUUUUUCUUCUUUGUCUAGGAAGACCUGGAUAUUUUUAGUAAAGUCCAUGGAUUGUUUUACCCAAGUGCCUUUUAGUGAAGUGUGGGCUCACUUCUCUUGGAAACCCAAAUAUUCAAAGGGAAACUUGAGAGAACCACCCAGGGAUCACUGUAAACUGACAUGCCCUGAGAAGAGAGAGAAAGGUAUUGUGAUAAUAUUUAGUACAGCAUGGCUUACAGCUAUAUUUUCUCCUGUGAGUUUCAUUGAGUUUCUUACAAUGACUGUUUUGACAAGUUAAAUCUGCCUUUCAUCCAAGUUGGUAAAUAGAGGUAUUUAAUCAUACCUUUGAAAAGAGAACACAUCAGUAAGUGGGAGAUGGAAUAACCAGGGAUAUGGGAUGAGCACUGAGGGGUUAAACUCUUUACCCAAGAUAUUUCCUAGUUAAAUUCCAGUGGAACUUGAAUUGGGCUGGGCUCUGUUCAGUCAUGCUCAACAAAAGAUGAGAUAUUUGUCUUCCUAUUAGUGUUUGGAUUACUUCUAAUUGGUGUAUAAGGUAACACACUUGAUGACACGUCUUCUGGUUAGGUAUGCACACCCAGAUGUGUGUACAUAUGUGAGGGGGUGUCAUAAAUCAACAGACCCCAGAAUAAAGUUGUGAGUGCCGGUACCUUCAAUGAGAAGUGAGCCUGGAAGCUCUUAAAGAUGAAUGGGGAAUUGAGCCUGGGUAUGUCAAUGAACAGUUAUCACUUGGGCCACUGGCCUUCAGUCCAGCUGAGAAAGAGCGAAAGCCAGGAUCAGAGUAUGCAUCAAGUCCCAACCAAAGUGCCACCACUCCCUAUGUGCUGACAGUUUCCAGCUCAGGCUGUUGUAUUACCUGUCUCAUUGGCAUAGGGGUGCAAGUUUGAAAAUCUGCAUGGGUUGCUAAUUUGGAAUAAAUAUGGUUAGAUGUAAAGUUUUGGUUAUUACUUGACAUUCUUAAUGUUUUCAAUGGUAUCUCUGUAACUCAAUACACAGAAACAUUGGAAGCCCAUCUUUGUGGAAUCACCAAUAUUAUCCUACUAUUAACAAACUUACGACCCCAUUUUAUAUUUUUGGAUUGAUGUUCUUACUAAGAAUUCUUCUUGGAGAGGAUAGAGGUGUGAAUACACUUCAAUAUCUUCAAAGUUAUAUGCAAGGCAAAUGAGAGAUUUGUCUCAGACACAAUAUUCACCAAUUCUGUUUCAGUCCAUAAUCCACUGGCUCCAAGGCAGGAUGGCAUGGCAGAGAUGCAUGGCAGAGUAGAGUUGAGGAGAGCUGCUCAUGGCAUGGCAUCCAGGAAGCAGAGAGUCAAGGUAGGGAGGGGGCUAUAAACUCUUCCAGGCCACACCCUCAGUGAGCCACUUCUUCUGAGUAGAGUAGUCCUCACCUCCUAAUAGCAAGUUACUUAUAGGUUCCCAUAAUCUAAUCACCUUCCAAAGUUCCUGUCUAUGAUCAAAUGAGACUAGGGGACAUGUAGAUAUAAGCCAUAACAAGAUACAGGGAAAACAUUAAGAGCAAAGGUUUGAUAAAAGAAUUUGUUAUUACCAAAGAAAGAUAUCAGACAGAAUUUUAAGGAACAGAAAGCAGUGAAGACUAAGAAAAUUGAUGCCACUGCAAUACUCUUACUGUAAGCUGAUCUAGAUGACAUUGUAAUAAAGUGAGCCCUGGGUUGGGGUACAGAAGUCUUAACUUUGAGUACAUGGUUUGCCCAUUCAGAGCAGUGACUGUUCAUUACCUGUAUUAUUUACCCCUCCUAGCAUAAGUUUUACCUUGUAAGUGAAAGGGAAACUGUUAUACAAAUCUCUUCUGUUGCAAAAAUUCAGCCAUGUUAUUUGCUUCUCUCUCUAUCUAGAUUUCUUCCAGGAGAUAAUAUAAGAUAAUAUAAAAUAAUAUAAAAAUUAAUUUUUAAAGUUUCAUUCCCUCCACUUCUCCAUUUCCAAAGCAAUCCCACAAACUUAGAAAACAUUUUGGAAAACAGAAAAGGAAAAGAAUUAUCUAUAUACUCUUCAUUCUAUUUUCAUGCAGCUUUUUUAUUCUUAUUGACACUACUUGUAUGUAGUCAGUUAUACUGCAUUUUUUUAUAUUCUUAUACAGAUGUGAGAAGGAAAACAGAGAGGAUUGUGAUAGCUUUUCUGAAAUACUUGAAAGUCUGCCACAUGGAACAGAUGACAGAUUUGUUCGUGUAGAUGAAGGACCGGUGAGAGGAGGCAGUGUUGAGUUUGUCUUAGUACAGGGAAAAGCAUCCUUAGGAUAGAUGAUGUUGCUCCACUGGGGGAAAAUAUUGUUCUAAGGUUUUACCAUUUACAGUCACUUUCUGAUUCUAUAACUGCCACCUUGCAUCUUUCCACAGUCUUCAAUCUUAAUCAUUUCAUUGAAAAAUUUCAGCAGCCAUUCAGCCAUUCCCAUCUUUCUAGGUUAAUGAUUUUACUAAUGACUCUUUUAGAGAAGACAUAAAUGUAAAAACUCUUAGACAUCUCCAUAACAGUGCUCAAGGCAAAGGAGAAAUAGAAGAAAAUAGGGAAUUUGCCUAAUUUGUCUAUAUUCCAUUUCUCUAAUUUGUUACUAGGUACUUUGAAUAGCUCUGAAUCCACCUUGUAAUAAGCCAAAACUCGUUCUUUUUAAUACUUUCUCAUAUUCUGUUUUUGUACUAUUUUAUAUCAAAUCCUUGGUAUUUCUUCUGUUGGAUUAAUCACAGUUAUGUGGGUCAUACCUGCUGUGGGUAAGAUACGUGACAAAUGUGGUGAGGUAUGCAAUAUCUCAUCCACUAAACAUUGUCUUAAAAAACAUUUAAAUUAUUCUCGAGAAAUGAGUGAAAACAAGAAUUCUCAUUCUUGUAAGCUUUCCUUAUUCUUCCUUUUCUUUAUUUUUUACUUCAGUGCAGUUCCUGAAAUGCCUUUUAAUGUGCCCAGGAGUUAAAUUGGUCAUCCAGUGGAAGCUAACUCUGUUCUGCUUGGGAACCCAACCUGAAGCAGCCAUUUGGGUAUUCAAUAUCCUUGAAAGAUGAGAGAAGCAUGAAUGGAAGGAAUUAAAUCCUUUACAUAUCAUUGCAGAAGGCAGUUAGUGAAAACAUUUUUCUACCAAAUUGCUUUUUAAAGGUUUUUUUGGAAUUUACAACUAAGAGGUUUGAGAUGGCAACCAGAGAAAGGUAGAAACUCAGGCAUGAGCUAGAACAGGCAUGUUUAGGAAGGAUACCAAUUUCAGGUGCUUUAACUUCUCUGUAUUGUAACAAUUAUUACUCAAUGAUAACUAUAUUAUUUCAGUAUGAUGUUUUAAACUCUUCAAGUUCUGUUUUAGCUCAUAUGAUCUUAAAACAAUAACUAAAUAUAAAAAAUACUAUAAACCGUAUUCAAAGCAAACAAGACUGAAGAAAGUGGACUUUUUUGAACAGUGAUGAGACUUGGUUUCAAGUCUGGUGGUUCUCAGUUUUACAUUCUGUUUCCUCUAUGUCAGGCUGUAGACGCUUACACAUACAUUUCAUCAGGUUAUUUUUUUGCAAUAAAUUUUCCAUGAAUGUGAGGCAAUAGAAAUUGAAAUAAAGUUGAUCCAGAAGUGGUGUAUGAGCCAUUCUUGCCUCUGGAGAGAGACGAUAUGGUCUUGUGGAAUUAGCAUGAGACUAAACCCUGAAAAUGACUUCAAGUAUACACCACCUCCUGUCGUAAUGGAGAGAGAAAAAGAUGGCUAGUGUAUGCUUCUUCUGAAGCUUAUUUCUUUACUUUCUAUUUUAGAAAAGGUAUGUUAGCAACCAUUUUUCUUGUAGAUGUUUCAUUUGAUGUCAAAAAAUGUAUUUACUUAGUCGUCUGAGCCUCAAUGGCCACAUCUUUCUAAAUUCAUUCCAGGAUGACUCAUAAUUUGAUAAUAACAGCUGGCACUUUCUAAUGGCUUAGAAUGAUGAGAAGUUAAUCAGUGGCUGCCAAGCACAAUUCCACUCUUCUGUAAAGUAUAAUUUUCUAAUAUUUCAUAAAAGAAGAAAAUAUUGAAAUCUAUGAUGCAUAUGACAAGUGAAUCUCUGUACGUACUGAAUCUCAGUUACAAUCUCUGUGAGGUACCAUUAAUUUAGUGACUACAUUCAUGUCAUUUUGUGUGAUUACCCUAUAGUUUUAAUAAUAUCUAACCUUCCUAAGUCCUUGACUUCUAGAGAGAGCAAUUCAAACACAACCCCUGCGCAGCAGGAUUUUCCAUGUGGAGGGCUAGGGGUUCCUUUAAGUUUGUAGUAUGGCACAAGUCUUGGUAAUUUAUAGUAGAUAAAUAUGACAUACUAAUUUUUUGUUGUUUACCAAUAUUCCACAAUUUAAAAAUUAAACCUUUUAUACUGAGGUGAUGUGUAGACUUGUAGACAGUUGUAAAGAAUAGAGAUUGUCUGUAUACAUUGUUUUAGCUCUCCUAAUUUCUUCUGUCUUCCAAAAGAAAUUCUAGAAGUUAUCUUGUCUAUAACUUCAAGAAAAGUGCUUUGGUUUUGAUGGUAAUUGCAAUAAACCUACAUAGUUAUUUGUUGUGAACUGCCAUUACUAUUGUGUCUUUCAAUCCACAAAAAUGGUAUUUCUCUUCAUUAAUUCAUGUAUUUUAUUUUUAUCUUCAGUGAUAUGUAGUUUUCAGCAAACAAGUCCUAUAAAUAUUUCAUUAGAAUUAAACCUAAAUAUUCCAUUUUUUGAGUUGUUGUAAAUAGUGUUAUAUUUAGUUUUGCUGUCCACAAUUUCAAUAUAGCUGAGUUUCUGGUGUUUAUCUUGGUUCUUGCAAUCUUGCUGAACUCAUUAGCUGUAGGAGUGUGUUUUUGUAGAUUCCUGGGGACUUUCCCCAUAAACAGUUAUAUAAUCUGCAAUAAGGGACCAUUUUAUUUCUGAUUGUUGUGGAAUUUGCUUACUUAUUUAUUUACAUAUUUAUUUAUAUCUUGUUGCAUUGGCUAGCACUUCCACUACUAAGUUGAAUAAAACUAAUAAGAGAGUAUAUCCUUGCCUAUUCUCAAUCUUAGAAAAUAAUUGUCAUCUGAUUUUGAAGUGAGUUAUAAAAUUUUUAUAAAUGUGCUUUAUCAGUUUAAGAAGGCUCCUUGUUUUCUCUGUUUUAUUGGAACUUUUCUCUUGAAUAGCCAUUGAAUUUUGGCAAGUGUAUUUUUGGAUUGAUUAAUGUAAUCGUGCCAUUUUUCUCCUUUACCUUGUUAAUAUGGUGCACUAUAUUGAUUAAUUUUUAAAUAUUUAACCAGCCUUACAUUUCUGAAAUGAGUCAGGUUAUGUCAGCCUUUCAUCACUGUGAAAAGAUACCUGAGAGGUACAACUUGAAAGAAGAAACAGGGUUUCAGUCAGUGGUUAGCUGGCUCCAUUUUUUCUGAGGCUGAGGCACUUCCAGACAUCAUAGUAAGGAGCACAUGGUAGACCACAGCUGAUCACCUUAUGGUGGCUGGAAAGAAGGCACUGGAGGUAAAAUAGAGUCCUAAGGGCAUGCCCUCAAGAGCACACUUCCUCCAAGUAGGCCCUAGCUCCUAUAGCUUUCACCAUUUCCCAAUAAUGCCAUGAUAUUAUGGACUCCUCACUGGCGGUAACUAUUGAUGAGGUAAAAGCUCUCAUGAGUCAAUUAUUUCCUAAAGCCCCACCUCUAGAUUUUACUGUAUUAGGGACCAAGCCACAAACAGAUGUGUCUUUGGGGAGGACUUCAUAUGAGAACCAAAGCAUUCUGCCUAAAAGAUCCAUGUCCAUCUCCUAAUGAAAAAUGCAUUCAGUCCAUCUCCAAGAGCACUCAAAUCUCAACAGUUUCAGCAUUUCUCAAAAGUUCAAAUCCAAUGACUCCCCUGAGACUCAAACUCUUAGCUCUGAGCCUGAGUAAGAAUUAAACUCAAGUUAAAUACUUUCAACCUACAAUGGGGAGACAGACACAGAGUAAACAUUCCUAUUCUAAAAUGUAGGACUAAGGACAUAGAAAGGAGGAAUUGGACAAAGCAAGCCUGAAACCCAGCAUAGCAGACAUUAAAAUUUGUAGCUCUAUAUUAGCUUUCCUUUGCAAUGACCAAACAUCCAAAACCCACAACUUCAAGGAGGAAAUGGCUCACAGUUCCAGGAGAUUCAGUGCACAUUCCACUGGCUUUAAGGCAGAAAUAUCAUGUCAGAAAGGUGUGGUAGAGCAAAGUUCAUGGCAACCAGGAAGCUGAGCAUAGAACCAGCAUAGACCCCCUAGCUUUACAUAUGUGCCCCACAAGGUAUAUCCCAAAGUGUGCUCUCUUGCCCAUUGACUUUCUUGCUCUGAGGGUGGGCCAUCUCCAUGUUGUGAGCUGACCAUCUGGGAGGAGCCCAGAUGACAAAGGACUUGAGAGGCCUAUGGUCAAAAUCUAGCUUGCAGAUCAUCAUCUUAUGAAGAAUUGAGUCCUAUCAACAGCUAUGUGAGUGACCUUGGUAGUGAAUCUAUUCCUUGUUGAUCUCUGAGGUGACGGCACGCCAUGCCACCUUUUUGCCUGUAGCCUAUGAGUGACAUAAGAGACUAGAGCCAGAAGACCCGCUGAAGUAUACCAGACAUAUGACACAAAGUACUAGCUGUUUGAGCCUACUAAAUUUGGGGGUGAUUCAUUACAUGUCAAGAAGUAGCUAAUAUAAUAUUGGAAAAAGAGACUAAAUUUCUAAGACCUACUAGUGUUAGUUCAGUAAAUAUUUCUAUGUAGAAAUCUGCCCAUAAUGGCUCCAUUUGAACCUGUAGCCAUUGAAGAAAUGUGGACAGUAAGACCUGUGCCUGUGCCCCUAUCUGAUCCACCACCUGAUGUUUACCUGGUUGAACACCAAUUACAAUAAGCACAGCAUUGAGGCUAAACAGCACAGUGCUGGAAAUGGGGAGCAGAGAUAGGGAGGGAAAUGAAUUAGGACUGACAUUUUAUGUCUUUUAAAAAAUCUGACCUUUUGGAAAUAUCACUGUGUACAUUUAAAAUAUUAAUAAAGGCUCUAGCUGUUAGUAGGCAAAAGGGGUUGUUGUCACAUAUGACCUUUUAUUGAAGUAAAAGAAAAUUGACAGUUUUAUUAGCAGUAAACUAUCAGACAAGAAAAUGAAAUGGAGGAAGAAAAGCUGCCAUAGUUAGUAAUUAGUUACAGAAACAGAAUAUUGUUAGGUAGCUGGGGUUUUAGAGAAGGGGCACUGACAUGGGUCUUUUGAGCUUCCUCCACUGAAACCAGUGUAAAUUAUGGCUAGAUUGGGAAAGUACUAUUCCUAUAAUGUUCUUUUUGCAGGGGUUUUAUAUGACAGUUUUUAUGUUUCCAUUUUUUUCCUUCAUGUUUUCACCAAGACAUUUUCUCCAAAGAAACUCAUGUAGAAAAGCUGCUAAUGUCCUAUGGAUGGCUAUUCAUUUAUAUAUUUAUUUAACAAAUAUAAGUAUUCACAAGGUGCUGGACAUUCUUGUAGGGUUAGAGGAAUCAAUAAUUAAGAGAUGAGUUUCUUGUCCUUGAGGGUCUCAUGUUCCAAUAAGGAAGACAGGAAAAAGACAAAGCUCGUGGAGCAGAUGUAACUGCAAUGUGUAAAAAUUAAGAUCUAGAAAGAAUUGUAAAAUAACUCUAUUCUUUCUUUCCAUAUUCAAACUCUGUGAAAUUAAUGUUCACCCUUUCUGGAUGAACUGUUACUCUAACCCCAAAACUUCCUUAAUUCAUUCUAUAGACAACAAAAAUCUUUUAAUUAUUUUCUGGUGCAAACUGUCUUAUUUUGGUAACAAAAAUCCCAACACUUACCUACCUCAUGUAUAGCUAAAGCAUCACACUGCAUCAGCCAGUUGAAGUGAGGGGAAGGAUAAUAGACAACUGUUGAGGGAAGCCUGAUGUAGGGAAAGGAGCCGUGAACAACUGUUGCUUUGUUUCUUCAUCUUGUGCUUCUCCUUUCCUCUUCUUGUACUGCUCUCUUGGAUUCUGGCUUUGGCCUGCUCCAGGACUGGCCAAUGCAAAAACCUGACUUUCUUCAGAGUUAUUACAAAGGACUCUUCAGAGACCUUUGACACAGAUGAUACUCUUUCUAGGAUCUAAUUGCUAAGUUCUAGGGUCCAUUUCAGAGAAAUACCAUGCUCCAAAUUUUCCAUGCCUUGCCCUUUCACCCUGUGGAAAUGUGGGUAUCAAACCACUCCCAGUAUGUCUGCAUCUCCUUGAUUCACUGUCAUGGCAGUGUGUAGAGUGGACACAAUCAAGGUUUUUCCAUGAGACUUUCCACAUGAAGGUUUGGUACCAUCUAGGAGACAAAGUCUCCAAAAGACUCACUGAGGCUUCUCUCUCAGAUAGUCAUCUGAAGGGUAAAGGAAGGAAAAGCUACACAAACCAGUAUCUUGCCAUCUGUCUUCUGAAAUGUUUACUCUUAACCUUUUUACAUGUUUGAAUUGGAUUUGGGAUCAAGCCACAAAAACUUUUCUUUCCCUCAAUCUUCUCUGCAAAUCAUGCAUAAGUAGCCCAAUGCCUCAUUUUAGAAUGUGUGAGCACCUGCAAACUAUUAUUGUAUUCUCAGUUUCUUAUGAUCUUAGCCAAACUAUUGACAAAAAGAAUCCCAAUUAAAUAUAUAUUUAUCUGUAUAUGUAUCUAUAUAUAAUUCAUAUUUUCCAAUUAAUUAUAACAACAAUUAACAUAUUAAAACAAAACAUAAUACAUUAUGUUAUUGGGUCAUAGAAAAGUCAUGUAAAGAAUUAACCCUGCCUCACUAAAGGGAUUUUACAAAAAGGAAAUAGGGAGGAAUAGUAGCAUUGAAGUGAUCUUGUGUUUAUUUUCCAAAUAGACUUUAAACAUUAACUUGAAAGAAGGGAUCACAACACACGCUCCUGUAGCACUGAUAAUUGUCCCUAGUCCAGCACUUUGCAAUAGCAAAAGUUUAAUAAUUGUUGGUUUGUUGACUAAAUGAGAAGAUAAAAAGCAGUUUGGUCCUUGGUUGAUAGUCUUGGUGAUAUGCAUGCAUACCCAUUAAAGUAUGCCAUUUUUAUUGAUGGGUACAAUUUUCAGGAUCUAUCAACCUCUGAGAAUUCUUCCUUUUUCUUUACAUUAUACACAUUCUUUCUGUUUUCAAAAGAAGCAUUUUUUAAAAAACUGAUGUGCAUUUUAGAGACUGUGAACCUCAAAGAGAAUCUCAGCCUGAAGUUUAAACCUGUCUUGGCUUGAUAUGCAAUUCUUCUUUUACUGAUAUAUUUAUGGAUGUGGAAAAGAAAGUUGGACAUUUACAGAAAAUCUUAUGAAUAUUUGAAGAAAUGCCCAUCAAGUCAAGUUGAGAGACUAAGUCCUUUUAUAGCAAGAACAAAAUAGCUGUCAUAGAAGCAGAGUCAAGUGGGAGUUGGAAACGUAAACUACAUGGAAUCCAUUUACCAGAUAAUAAAUCUAUGUCCUUAAGAAGGAUCCCGAGGCAGCCACGAUGGUUCUUAUAGGUUACUCUAACACCAAACUCAGUGGGAAACUUACUCCUCUAAGGAGUUUUUCUCUUCAAACCAGCAGCCAAAUGGAAUUCAGGGAUAAUCUACUCAUAAGUUGUUUAUGUAAUUUAAGGACGACGAGUAUAUUAUUAAACCAGUGGACAUUUAAUUUCAAUAACUUAAAGCCAAAUACAAGGGAAAAUAAUAUUUCACUAGACAAUGGCAAUAUGGUCUUUAAAAGUCUUAAUUGUCUAAUACCAUAUAAACAUUUCUGAUAGUUAUUUGUUGAUCUGUGCAUUUUUCUUUCAUUCAGCCUAGUUUAUUGGUCAUAUAGUAUGUGCCAAGCACUGAGGUAGACACAAAGCAUACAAGGAUUUGCAUGACCUACAUUUUGCUCUUAAAAGCAAAAUGAAGGUCAUACUUUAUGUAGAUCUUACUUUAUGAAGAUCAUACUUUAUGUAGAUAUACUAAAUUCAAUGAAAUAUAUUUUUAAAUUUGCUUUCACCUGUUGACUGUUUAAAUGUGACUGCUGGAAAAUUUAAAGUUACAAAAGUGCCUUGCAUUUCAUUUCCAUUUGAUGACAUUGGCCAGAAGGAUCUGCUCACAAAUGCCCAGGCCAUCUGCUUGCCUCUUAGUUUCAUACUAGUGAAAGCCAAGACAUGAGCUUUGUUGCUAACGCUACUCAUUGACAUCUUAAGUAUAUUGCCAAGGGUCUCCGAUAGUGGCAUUUAACUUCUAGCCUGAACAUAAUAGAUUCUAAAUAUAAUAGAUUCCAGUUCAAUACUGUUACUUUCUCUUGGACAAGUGUGUGACAAAAUUUAGGGAUAGUGUCCUUUUGGAGAGAAUAUAAAUAUAAAUUUUCCAUCCAGAACAAAUAUCAAAAAUAUUUACCUUGUGCUAUAUUAGUUAUUAUUAUAGUGUAAAGUUUUGCUCAGAAACACUUGAAGAGCAAAGAAGACAGAAAAUAUCACAUGUGGUUGUAGCAUAACCAAAACUGAGUGAGCAGUUUAGAGAGACAAAGCCACUCUAAGACCUGGUUAUCAAUUAGUAACAAUUACAGAUAGUGACCCUGUUCUUCCUUUAGAAUUUCAUAGGUGAACUUUUACUAACUUGUGUAGGUUCUGAAUACUUCAAAGUUAGGAAAUGUCUUUGUAGUGGAUUGCUUGCAAAAAUGGCCAUACUCCCUUCCCUAUAUCUAUGCCCCCUUGCCCUGUGACUUUGAAUCUUUUUUGACUGAAUGGUGGAAAGUAUUUCCCUCCUAAGAAUCUGAUGUGGUAGGUGACUUGCUUUGCUAAAUGUCUCAGAAGUGACUAUGUGUCUGUUCUAAGUCUGGAAUUCGGGAAAUUUUGCCUGUGUGGCUAUCAUGAGAAUAAGGCCAGGCUAUCUGGGAGAAAACUUUAAAAAAUAUAGAACAGAAAUGAAUGUCCCAGAUAAGAUCACUCUAGAACAGCCAGCCCCUGCUCUUUAGCAGCUGGUCAGGGACAUAUGGGUUCGCUUACCUGAGACCAGAAGAGCAAUUCAAAUGCGCUCAGCCUCAAUUCCUAGCCCACAAAAUCGCAAGAUGUAUUAAUGUGAUUACAGUUUUAAGCCAUCAAGUGUUAGGUUUGUUUGUUACACAGCAAAAACUAAGUGAUAAAGUCCUUGAAUUGUUUUAUUUCCCUCCUACCAAACAAAACCUAAGUUUUGAAGGUUGGUUGAGGACUACUAAUUAGUUUCUCUAAACAUUUAAAUGGUGAGCCUAUUAGAACAUUGAAAUCCUACUUCUUGUUCACAAAAUUAUUUAACUUUAGAUGAUAUUGAAAUUUUAGAAGACAAGAAGUAGGAGGCUAGAAGUAGUCUGGUCUUAUGCUUUUAGUAAGAUCAGCUAAUUUUCAAUGCUCAAAAAUGAUUUUCUUUCUAGGAAAAUUCUCACUGAAAAAAAUAUUGAUAAAAAAUAUAUAUCAAAAAAGAAAAAAAAAAUAUAUCGUAUCUUCAGUGAUUUUGACCAUUUCAAAAUGUUUUUCACUGUUUUAUUAUGCUCUUGGAAGAUUUGAGUAUAGUCAUUAAACAUCAUCCACUAGCAGACAAAUUGCUAUAUUUCUUCCAUUUGAAUGGGAUAAUACCAUAAUCAGGGUGUGUUUUGAAGCUGCUCUUUCUUCAGGGAAAUUGUGUUUGCUUUAAUGUAGCUGGGAUUGAAUGUGAAGGUGAUGUGUUUUAUGACUAUCCUCGAGACUAUCCUAGAGACUUGAAGAAAUAACCAUUCUAUUUCAAAUAUACACAUAAGUCAGAGGAUGCUUUCAGAAACAUUUCUUUAAUAAACCUGAUUCAAUGAAUGGAACUACUGAUCAUACAAACUGGCCCUUGACUGGAAAGUUUUUUUUUUCCUUUUAACAAAAACAUGUAGAAUAGGGGCACUGGAAAGGAGCUUUUAUGGGGCAGUGCCAGGUAGGAGAGCCAUGUGGAAGGAUUAUGGGUCUUUACAGUUUAACAGAAGAUGGGCACAGAGUGCAGGGGUAAAUGAGGUGCUGAAGAAUUGAGCCCAAUACUAGAGAAUCCCUUACUUUCAAUUCACCACAAAAUUACCUGAUAACUUCCUUAAAUAUAGGCAGGUUGUGAUUAUAUUUCUUGAGGAAGCUGGUAAGUCAUGGAGCUUUGUGUUUGAAUCUCUAAAGUACUGACAUGAUCAUGGGUUCAGAGAUGAAAGGAAACCACAACAGUAUGGUAACAGAUUUUAUGAAAUUAUGGGGAGAUAUUGGAACUAUCUACAAUAUGAAGGUUCAUAUUCCAAUUAAGAUUUCUUAGUUUUCUGAUGGGCAGCAGAGCUCAAGUUAUUCACAAAGUAAUACAUUUAACCUACAAGUAAUACAUCAAUACUAACCACAGUAAUACAUCAUUAACGAAUUUCCUGUGAACUAAGUUAAAUCUACCAAACCCUAACUGCAAAGUUAAGUUGACCAAACCCUAGCCUCUACUCAUUUUGCAAGGAGUAUGUAAAUACUGAUGCACAGAGGACGUGGUGGUCUUUAUACUGGAUAGAUGUAAAAACUACUUUGAGAUUUAUGUUAGAACUCUGAAAACAUAUUUCCAUUUGGAUGCCCAAGGUGGGUCCAGUUGCACAAGAGACCUGAAAGAAAAUGAGCCAGGAGAAUGGGCGAGCCAGGAGAAAGAAGUGAAAUUACCAGUGUGACUCUUGUUGGUGUUUUUUAAGGGGUGUGUGGCAUGUGUGUAUGUGUGUGUGUCAGUGUCUGUGGUUGUAUGUGUGUGUAGAAAAUGCAGAGCAUCCUAGAAGAGAAAGGAAUUUCACAGUGGAUCCCUAAUUGUUGCAAAAAACAAUUCCAGCAUACUAGACACUAGGCUCUAUAAGUCCCAGGGCUGAUUAUUAGAAACUGUUGGAACCUUAGUUGGGGAUACUCAUUUCCAGAAAUUGGAGAUAUUUGCUAGGAGUGCAGUGCCACAAAGCAGGCCAUGCUAAAACCAAUAUUAGGAUAAUAUCUAUCAAACUAGGGUUUAUGGAUUCUUCAGAAGAAAUUUUUCAUUUGGAGUUUUCAUUUGAUGAAUGUCUAAAAGAAUAAUAUUGUGAAGCUAUUUGGGAUCCCCCAGAUGACUGCUCUUGAGCACACUGUCAUGCGAGUACAGUGUCAGCAUUUGCAUUCAUUGAAAUAAGCAAUAGCUCUAAGCAAUCAUUGCAUGCUCUCUGUGAAGGUUUCACAAGUACUUAUUAAGAGAAAAGUGAUGAGAUAAUUGAGCUUAUCCCAUUAACAGAAAACACCAAGGGUAUGUUAAAUUCUGGACCCAAAGCUAGUGCCCAGAAAUGUUUAUUUUUCUUUGAAAAGACAUCUGCAUACUACUAUUCAUAUUUGAGAAAUCCUCAGAUAGAAUGUGUCACAGAAAUGCUGCAGGAGGAGAAAGCCUCUGAGAAGCUACUAGAAGAAAUGUGUGGCCUCACCUUGAAAUCCCUCUGCACUGUUCAACGCAGGAGAUGUUAGCUAUUUAAAUUCAAAUAUAAAUGCAUUUAAAUGCAAACAAAAAGAAGAAAAAUUCAGUUUCUCAAUUUCACCUUUUAAGUGUUUCAGUUGUCACUUUUCUCCAACCACAUAGGAUGUUAGAUGUCUACGUGAACUAUGAUAUUUACUGUAUUUGAUAGCACAAUACAGAUGGUUCAUGACCCACAAUUUCCACCACAGUGUGGUGUGAAAACAAUACUUGUUCAGUAGUAAUAAUAAGUUAAAUUUUGUUAUUUUCUUGGUCUAGGAAUAUGUCAUAUAGUCCUUGCUUAUAGUUCUGGGCAGUGAAUUCACCAACAAUCUAUAAAGUGUGCUAUGUUGCUAAACUAGAUUGUUUGGUAAGUUAAAUGCAUUAAAAUGCAAUUUCAACUUAGGAUAUUUUCAACUUUUGAUGGGUAAAUAAUGUGAUAUAGGCAUUAAUCAAGUAGUAUCUGUCAUAAAAUGUCCAUCAUCAUGGAAUAUUCCACCAGAAAGUACUGUUCUAUGGUCUCCAAGUUUCAGAAUCUUCUGUUUCUUUAGAGAAAUGUGUAAAAACACUUACCCAGGUAUGAGUCAAUUGAAGGAGUACUUGGAAUGAUGUAUCUAUUUGGUAACCACCUGUAAGCAAGCAAGUGAAAACAUGUGUGUUGAGAUAUGAAAUAUGUAGCAGGUAUUGCACAUGUUGAAGAAUAUAAUUGUAUAACCAGACUUGAUUGAAGUUAGUCACAAGAGGAAUGACAAUGUGGAUAUUCUUUGACAACCUCCUGAAAUGCCCAUACAUUUCAGUGAGAGAAAGAAAGAAGACUGUGGAAUAGACAGUCUUUAAAAACUAAGCACAAUUUUAAUAAAGAGCCCUGGUUUAGCCUUGGAUAAGUGGGAAGCCAAAGUGACUUAGUCUCUUCCACUUGGAUUCCCAGUGUGGAGGGUAUCAGGGAUUAGAACUCAUACAUUGCACACUGGGAAUGUCACUGAACUCAAUGAGGAGGAUGUGUGGUAUCUGUAAGGAGGCUGACCUCAGAAUGCUGGGGUUUUCAAUGUCUAUCAGGAUUCCCAUGCAUUAUUCUGUCAUCACUGCAUCAGGGAUACCAGGCUUUGUGUUAACAAAGGAUAGAGUAGAAACCAUUAAUAAGCUUCAGGACACCUCAUGAAAGUCUGCCAUGCAUCUGAAAUUAGGUCAUAACCUGAGGGUUAGGAGACAGAGAGGUCUCGAGAAGUUUUUUGAGAACUCCACAGAAUAAGAGUUUAGAAUUAUAUCUAAUUUGAGUUAAAGAGAAAAUAAGAAAGAAAAAAAAAAAGAAUUGUAAUAACCUUGCUUAUCUAUUGUUGAGUACUAAGAGCCAUUUUCCACAUAACUGUCUUAUACAACAGCAAGGUGCCUUAGUUAUUUUCUCAUCACUGGAAUGAAAUAUCCAACACCCACAACUUAAAGGAGGAAAUGUUUAUUUUGACUCAUGACCUUUAGAGAAUUUAGCCCAUAGUUGGCUGGCUCCAAGGCAGCAAGGACCUGGUGGAAGGGCCUGGGCAGAAAACAACUGCUUUGCUCAUUCUUUGUCAGUCAGGAAGUGGAGCAAGAAGGCAAAGGCUGGGGAUGAGAAUACAUGCUUCCAGCUUAUGCUUCAAGUGACCAAGUUCCAACCAGGCCUCAUAUCUUAGCAACAUAUUUAGCUACUGAAUCCAUCACUGGAAGAAUCCACAGAUGAGUAUAGACUCUGUAUGAUCCAAUUACCUUCCAAACACAUGAGGAUUUUAAUACUAAACCAUAAUACCAAGUGCAUUUGUCACCUUGGUCUGCUAUAAUUGAAGAGCAUAUAUUCUAGGUUGCUUAAAUAACAGAAAUUAACUUCCCAUCAUUUUGAAGGCUGAGCAGUCCAAGAUAAAGGUGCUGACAAGGUAGGCUUCAUUCUUUUUAUUUUUUUAAAUAACAAAACAUUCAUUGGUACAUUUUAGGCAUACCUAAUGAUAACAUUCAUCAUAGGAAAUUUGCACCUGUACAUGGUAAUUGCAUGUUCUUUCCUUUUUUGAGAAGGUUGGCUAAGGAUUUAUCAACUUUAUUUUUUAAUUUUUCAAAGAACUCACUCUUUGAUUCAUUGUUUCUUUGUAUUGUUUUCUUAGUUUCAGUUGCUUUAGUUUCUGCUCUGAUCUUUAUAAUUUCCUCUCUCAUAUCAGCUUUGAGUUUGACUUAUUUUUUUUAUAAAGUUUGAGGUUCAAAAUUAAGUUGUUUAUUUCAGCUCAUUCUGUUUUCCUGAUGUGAGAGUUCACCACUAUAAAUUUUCCUCAUAGUACUGCUUUCAUUGCAUCCCAUAAAUUCUGGUAAGUUUUUUGGCAUUAUCAUUUAAUUGUAGAAACUGUUUAAUUUCUUCUUUCAUUUUAUUUUUGACUCAUUGGUUGUUUAGGAGGGUGUUAUUUAAUUUCCACGUGUUUAUGUAAUUUUUGUGAUUUCUUUUGUCAUUGAUUUUUAGUUUCAUUGCACUAUGGUCUGAUAUUAUGCAUGGGGUAAUUUCAAUUUCUUUGUAUUUACUUAAGCAUGUUCUAUGAGCUAGUAUGUGCUCUACUUUGAAGAAUGUCCCAUGCGCAGCUGAGAAGAAUGUGUAUUCUGAUGUUGUGGGGUUGAACACUUUGUAGAUAUGUACUAAGUUAAUUUGUUCACAUGUUUGGUUCAGUUCUGAUAUUUCUUUGCUGAUUUUUUGUCUAGUUGAUCUAUUUGUGACAGUUGGGUAUUGAUAUCCCCCAUUGUAAUUGUGUUAGUGCUUAUUUGAUUUUUCUUGUCUGUUAAUAUUUGUUUUAUAUAGUUGGUUGUGCUAGUAUUUGGUGCAUAUUGUUUAUGAUUGUUAUUUCUUCUUCUCGGAGCUUUCCCUUAACAAGUAUGUAGUGACUUUCUUUGUCUCUUUUGAUCUGUCUUGGCUUGAAGUUCAUGUUGUCUGCAAAUAAGAUAGCUACCCUUGCUUUUUUAUGGGUUCCUGUCACAUUAAAUAUUGUUUUCCACCCUUUGACUUUCAGUUUAUGAAUUUUAUUUGAGUUAAAUGUGUUUUCUACAUGCAGCAAAUUGUUGGAUCUUGUUUCUUGAUCCAUUCUGCCAAUCUGUUUCUUUUGAUUGGUAAAUUAAGACCAUUUACAUUGAAGGCUAAAAAUGAUAUAUACCAGCUUAUUCUUGUUAGGUUCCAUAUUUUUCCUAUUUAAUUGCUUGCCUUGCUUGAUUGCUUCUUUCUAUUGAUUCUUGGAAUUGUGGAUGGGCAUUUGUAUGGGCAUUUCAGGAUGUGAUCAAAGAAUAUCCACAUCGUCUUUGUUAUCUCUUUCAAAAAUAUCCUUCAGAACAUUUUGUAGAACUGGUUUGGUGAUCAAGAAUUUCUUCAGUUGUUCUUUGUCAUGGAAGUAUCUCAUUUCUCCAUUGAUUCUAAAAGAUAGUUUUGCAGAGUACAUCAGCCUGGGUUGGAAUUUUUGUUGUUGUUCAGGAUUUGAAAUACUUCACUCCAAGCUCUUCUUGACUGAAAGGUUUGUGUUGAGAAGUCUGCUGUAAUUAUGAUGGGCUUUCCUUUAUAGUUGAUUUGUUUCUUUUCUGUAAUAGCUUUUAAUAUUCUGUUCUUUAGCUUAAUUUCUGAAGUCUUGAUUAUUAUAUGCUUUGGUGUGGAUUUACUUUGGUCAUAGCUAAUUGAAGUUCUUAUUUGCAUGUCAAAUUCUUUUUCCAUGUUUGGAAAGUAUUCCAGUCCAUCCUGUUUCUCUCUUUCCAUCCUGUUUCAUCCAUCCUGUCACUGGGCAGGAGGAAUCAUCUUGUUCAAUUGGCUAUCCUCACUGCCCUGAUGCAGUUCCUAACCUUAUUUGGUAGGCUUCAUUCUGAGUCCUUUUGUUUUAACUUGUAGGUAGUUGUCAUCUUGCUGUGCAUUUGCAUGGGCUUUUCUUUGUAUGUGUACUUAGAGGUAUUGAAGGACUGGGUGGGUUCAGAUGUCUCUUUCUAAAAGAACAGUAGUCCUUACUCUCAUGAAAUCAUUAGACUUAAUUACCUGUUUUCCACAUAUCAAAACAUUAGCUUUAAGGCUUCAAUAAACAUUUAAAGGGAGAGAUAAAAUUCAACUCUCAGUACGGAGGUAGGGAGCUUUCUGUAUGAUUUCUGUAGGAUAGCAGGGAGGCAAGAGAUGGGAUGCUGGUAGUCCUCCAAGACAGAGGGAAGGAGGCAUGGAACUUUGGGGCUGUCAGUUUAGGAUUUUCCAGAGAUCAUCAGGGGGCAUUAGAUAGAGAAGAGAUGCAAAAUGGAAGGGGGGGUUGGGUCAAAGUAGGGUAAAUCUGUGUGGGUCAACAAUUAGCAACUUGUACUAUGUUUUAGUUUAAUAAAUACUUUCUUGUGUAUAUGUAUAUUUUAUAUAACUGCACUCCCUAUCACCUCAUUUUGUUGUUUUUCAUGUGACACAUUUAGUUAACAAACAUUUAUGUUAUGCUUACUGUAUACAGGUCACUGUUGUAAUAGUUUUAUUAAUAUUAACUCAUUAAAUUCUUACAACAAUCCUAGCAGAUACAGCCAAUUGCUAGUUUAGAAAUGAAGAUGCCAUGCUACAAAGAGGUCAAGUAAUGUUUGGAAGCUUCUCCAGGUAGGAGUGAUUCUGCUGAGAUUUAAGCCUAAGAGUUCUGGUUUCAGAAUUCAUGCUUCUCAAUAGUCUGCUUUUUGUAAUCCACCCUCCCUCCUUAAUCUGUCAUUCUGUUAUUUGGUUGUUUAAAGCUAGAGCUUAAUAGCAAAGGUCAGUUCAUGCUUUAGCAGAGUUUACUAAAUUCAGGCAAAAUGAAAUCCUUGCUAGUUUAUGAAAAACAUUUCUGGCCAAGGACGUCAUGGCUAGCUUGUCUGUUUUCUGUCACUUUUACUCAACAUCAAUGGCACCAUUUUAGGUCAUGAGUCCUUAUAGAGGUCUAGUUGAAAAUUCAAGGCUCCUCUUUGGUUUUUUUUUUCAUUUUUGUUGUUUGUUUGCUUUUGAGACAGGGUCUCACUGUUUAGUCCAGGCUGACCUUGAAUUCACUAUGUAGCCCAGGCUGGCCUUGAACACUCAGUGAUCCUCCUGCCUCAGACUCCCAAAUUCUGGGAUUACAGGCAUGUGCCACCAUUGCCUGGCCAAGGUUCCUCUUUGGAGUUAGGUAGGACUCACUGAAAAUCUGGGCCAGAACAAGAUUUGCCAUUUUCUAUUUGAGAGAUAAUUCAUAUAUCAUAUAAUUCACCCUUAUAUAGUAGACAAUUUGUGGUAUUUAACAUAUUCACAAUUUUUUGCAAACAUUACUACUACUGAAUUCUAGAACAUUUUUAUCACUCAAAAGAAAUGCCAAAGUCUAGCAAUCAACCCACUCUAUCCUCCCCUUAACCCAUGGUAUGUUAGUCCACUUUCCAUCAUUAUGACAAAUUAUAAAGGAAAGGCUUAUUAUGGCUCAUAGUUUUGGAGGUUCCAGUCCAUGAUCAGUUGGCCCUGUUGCUUUGGGCCUCUAUUGAGGUAGUCCAUUAUUAUAGAAAUGUAGAGUGGGGCAAAACCACUCAUUUCACUGCCAGGUAGCAGAAAAAAGUAAGGAGGUGGCAGAUUCCCACAAUUCCCUUCAAGGUCAUGCCCCAGUGACCGCAAAGCUCUCAGCAGGCCUCACCUCUUAAAGGGUCUACCAUCUCCCAACAGAGCCACCCUUGGGGACCAAGGCUUCAACACAGUUCUUCAGGCAACAUUUAAGACCCAAGCCAUAGAAUAUGGCAACACAGAACUUUUUUCCAUCUAUGAAUUUGUCCAUUCUGGAUAUUUUACAUAAAUAUGAUCACACAAGUAUUACUUAUGUAUGACUUCUUUCACUUAAUGAGUUAGUUACUUUUCUCUCGUUGUUGAGGCAAAAUACCCACACUCAAAGUUAUACGGGAAAAGGUUUAUUUAGUUUACAGUUUGUAGAGGUUUAGUCCAUAAUUGGCUGGCUGCAAGGCAGGGUGGCACAUGGCAGAGGGGCAGCAGUUCAAGGCCGCAAAAGACAGCAAAAGCAACAAGGGAAACUUAAUGUCAUCUUUCUGCCCCCAUUAUCUUAUUCAUACUAUUUAGGACUGGUAGCAGCAAUGCUCUUAAUCCUAGUGCCCUGGGCCCUAGCCCCACCAUGAAACCAUUGCAUACUUUAGAAUCAGCCACCUCUAAAAUAGCCUAUGACCACAUGAGACUUUGGGGGGAUAUCUAGACACAAACCAUAGCACUUAGCAUAAUGUUCUCAUGGUUCAACCGUGUUGUAACAUACAUCAGUACCUGAUUCUUUUUGACAAAUACUCUAGGGUAAGGCUACAGCACAUUUUGUUUAUCUAUUCAUUUGUUGGUAGCCAUUUAGGCUUUUUUUUCCUAUUUAUUGGACAUUAUGAAUAAUACUGCUAUGAUAUCUGUGUACAGUUUCAAUGCAGACAUAAGUUUUCAAUUUUCUUGGGUACACACAUAGGAGUAGCAUUAGUGGGUCACUAUGUAACUCUUUGAUUGUUUUAAAAAUUGACAAACUUUUUGCAUAGUACUGUGCCAUUUUACCUUCCUGCCAGAGAUGCAGGAGAGUUGUAUUUUUUUAUGUUCUUCUGAAUAGUUACUUUUAUUGUGUUUUUGUGUGUAUUUUUAAAAUGUAGACACUGUAGAGAAUAUGAAGGAUUAUCUCACUGUGGUUUUAAUAUACCUUUAAAUAAUGAACAAUAAUGAUUUUUUUCAUGUGCUAUGGGUUAUUUGUGGUGUUUAGAGAAAAAUCUAUUUAUUUCAAUCAUUUCCUCAUUUUAUAGGGUUGUAUUUAUUAUUGAGUUGCAAGAGUUCUUUAUAUAUUUUUGAUAAAAGUAUUUUAUUAUAUACAUGUAUAUUGUUCAAGUAUUUUUUUCUCACCCUACAGCUUGCCUGUCCACUGUUUUAUACUGUCCUUCAAAGCAUAAAACUUUAAAUUUUUGAUUCAGUAAAAUUCUCAAUUUUUUUUUAGACGUUUGUUCCUUUGGUGUCAUAGCUAGGAAGUCAUUCCCUGGCUCAUGAUCAUAAGGAUUUAUAACUAUUUUCUUUUAAGAGUCUUUAGUUUCAGCUCAUAUACUGAAGUGUAUGUUGAGCUAACUUUUGCAUACAUUAUGAAACUGAAGUCCAGAAACAUUGUUUUGCACGUGGACAUCUAGUUGUUUUACCAAGAUUUGUUAAAAGGACUUUCUUUUGCUCUUGAAUUGUCUUGACCUUUGUCAAAUAUUACAUUAUAAACAUGUAUAUUUAUUUUUGGACUUUUAGUUCUAUUCCAUUGAUUUAAAUGCCUAUUAUUGUGCCAUUACUUUAGUCUUGAAUACUGUAGCAUUGUAAUAGAUUUUGAAAAUGGAAAUGUGAGUCCUCUAAUUCUUGUCUUUCAGUAUUUUCUUUCUUUCUUUUACUUAUUCUGACUUCUUAUAUUUCCAUAUGAAUUUUAGAAUUAGCUUGGAAAUUUUGCCAAAAAAGUUAGCCUCAGAUUUUGAUAAGGAUUUUAUUGAAAAUGCAGAUUAGUUGGAGAAUAUUAUAAUAUCAAUAUUAUUACAUCUUCUAAUUUAUGAACAUAACACAUUUUUUACUUAUUUGGAUCUUCUUUCAUUUCUACCAGUGGUGUUUUAUUGUUUUCAGUGUACAAGUUUUACAAAGUUGAAAAUCAGGGAGAGAGAUAGAGAGAGAGAGAAAAAGAGAGAGAGAGAUGUGAGAUGUGAGAAAAGGUUGAUAUCCUGCAAUUAUACAUUCAUUCAUUCACUUAAUUAAUAUUUAUUGAAUGCUUAUGUUUACAAUGAAUAUUCUAGCAAUUAUGCCAAGUAUUGACUAAGGUAGGGGACCAUGGAUUCAAAGAAAAUAGAAAUAUUCCUAAGUCUCUAUUUGUAGUCAGUCACUUCAGAAACAGUUCCGAUCAAGGCUUUUUCAAGACACAUUAAAAAAUUGACUACUCUGAAUUUUAUUACCUUGUUGUAUCUCCCAUCUACUGUGAUGAAAAAUGAAAUGACCAAACUAUGGAUAAGUAAAAAGAAAAUCAGGAGAAGGUUAGGACUCACUAACUAGUUAGUUGCUACAUGAGAAACCAUGAAUUGUAAAUGUUCCUCUUGUCCUUGCCAUUUGUCCCAGAGUCUAGUGACAUCUAAAAAGGUAGAAAAUUGUCAGUGCUUCAAGCUGGGGAUGGAUACCUUUUCAGAGUCUUUGCUGCCAUGAAGCUGUCAUGAACAAACAUAAUACAUCAUCGCCCAGGUCUAUUUUCUAAAAAAGAAAUGAGCAUGAGAAAUUUUCUAUUCAUUGUGACAACAAGAGAAAAAUGUUUUUUCUUAUAGUAUAUAAUUUAAAGUUAUGAACUGAGUGCUUAUCUGAAAAUCAUGUCCAUCUUUUUAGAGAAAAUACUACAUGUUCUUCUACUGUAAAACCUACCUUUGCUGAGAAUACAUGUUUGUACACUAUUUAGUGAUCAUGAAGAAAUGCUCAUUUUCUAUCCAAUUCCACCUACUUAUGAGUGCGCCAGUUGACAACAUCGAAUCUUACAAAGAGCAUUUAUCCCAAAUCACACUGGCAUCAGGAGUGGAGAGUGGGAGUGGUAUUCUGCCUGAAAGAGAGAACUACAGACUAUUGUUCUUUCUCCAAGGUGCAUGGGUGAAAUACAUAUUUUUCCUCUCUAUGUGUGAUUGCCCAUGAGGCAAGCAUCCUGUGAUCCUUGCUUUGAUGGUACACAUCAUCAGACUGUGUUGUUUUUGAGACAUGGUUACCAUGCCUAGAGGUAUAAUACAUCUACAGACAUUUCAGCACCUGGCUAGUUCUUUUGUGUGAAUUUUGAUGAGGGGGUGGCUUGGGAUGAAAAAAAAACCAAUAUAAGACUAGUGCUGUUUGUGGCCUGGAGUGGAUGCUCAGGAGACAGAGAAAAUGAAAGAGAUGAGCUUUUUCAAUGUGUAGUGUGGAUUAUAUCAGGAUUACUAGCAAAUAAAAAUGUAUACAGAAGGGAGAAUGUUCUAUCUGAGAUUAAAUUCCUCUUCUCUUUAUUGGUCAUGCUUUAUAGAGAGAUCAUGACUCAUUUUGAAGGUACAAAAUCUAUUUCUGUACAUGAAAAUGACAGCAGGCGUGUGUGUGUGUGUGUGUGUGUGCACGUGUGCACGUGUGGGUGUAGUCUCCUUUUGUAAAUCAAAGAAGGAAAGUUUUUAGGCAGACAGCAUUGGAGAUCUGAAAAGAGAGACUGUAGCACCCGAAGAUGGAAAUAGGGGAAGUUAAGUUUUGAAAGAUACGUAUGAAGAGCCUCAGAAGAUGGGCCACUCCUGGGACCCGAUAGCAGUCUCCAGCUGGAAGAUCCCAUCCCAGCACUGAGCUCUGAGCAUAGUUCAACAGAGGCAGAGGCCAGCGGUCAUCCUAUUGCUGCUUCUCUCAAUACAUCUGUAUGCUGACUAUGUUACCUGAGUGUCCCCCAGGCAUCUUACUAUGUGCCUCAGUGAAACCCUGGAGCUGUGACACCUGUGUAAGAAUUUCUUAACAUUUAUAGGUAGAAGUGCUUGGUCCAUUCAUGUCAGUAUUACUAGCUAGUGUUUGGAGAGCCCAAGUUCUUACAAUGUGGCAAUGGUUGGGAGUGUAUUGAUAGAAUGAAGCAAUAACCCUUAUUACUUAUGUAAACCCUGCCAAAAAAAAGUGCCUUCAUAAAGAUCCAUAGAUAUGUGUUUUUCUAGAGGAAAAAAUUAGAAUUAAACAAAAAUUGACUAGGUGUUUGACUCCAGCCUUCAAUCCCAACAUUUUGGGAGGCUGAGGCAGGAAGAUCACAAGUUUGAACCCAGACUGGGGAACUUAACAAAUUAGCAAGACCCUGUCUCAAAAUAAAAGCUAAAAAAAUACAAAAGGUCUGAGUACAUAGCUCAAUGUGAAUGUGAAGGCCCUGGUUUCAAUCUCCACCCCCCGCCCCAAAAAAACUGACAUUCUCCAGUGUGAAGACUAUAAUAAAUAACACAGUUGAAUAUUGAUGAAAAAAUAGACAAACAGAUCAAAGAAAGAGAAGUGCGAAUCCAGAAACACACUCAGACACACACACACACACACACACACACACACACAGGUCAAUUGAUCUUUGCAAAAGGUAAAAAGGCAAUUCAAUGCAGAUAGAACAGUCUUUUUAACCAGCAGUGCUGGAACAAUUGGACAUCUGCAAGAUAAAAGGACUGAAAUUUUAUAUCUUUUAUAAAAAUCCAAAAUCUAUCAUAAGUGCAAAAUUCAAAAUUAUAAAGCCCAUAGGAAACAAUAAAGGACGAAGUUUAGUGGGGUUUAGGUUUGACAGUGACUUUUUUUUUUUUGCUUAAAUUCAUUUAUUGGUACAUUUUAGGUAUACAGUACAUUUACAUUUAUCAUUGGUUGCUUGUACCUGUACAUGAUGUAUCUUGGUUCUUAUUUUUUCCCCACUCCCUGUGCUCCCUUUGCCCCCUCCACCCUUCCGUAUUUACAAAGACUUUGUUUCCAUUUUUUCCUUUGACUCUUAAGACAUACCACAGAGACAUGAUCUAUGAGAGAAAAAAAUGACAAGUAGAACUUCAUUAAGAUGAAAAUUCUCCACUUAGUGAAAAAUACCUUUCAGUAAAUGAAACACCAAGCCAUAGAUAGGGAGGAAGUAUUUGUGUCCAAAGUCUAGUAAGAACUCUUAAAGCUUUAAAAUAGGAAAAUAAGAAACAAAUUCUCAUAAAUCUGAACAUAAUGUUGCCUAUGACACAGCCAUCAUAUUUCCUGGUAUUUGCUGAAAUGAUUUGAAAACUUAAAACCACAUGAAAACGUGUACAUGAAUGUUUAGAGCAGCUUUAUUAUAAUUGCUGAAAUUUUGAAGCAAUCAAGAGUCCCUUUAUAUUGGAUAAGCAAAUUGUGCUGUACCUACAUAAUGGAGUGUUAGUGUUUCACAGGAAGAAAUGAGCCAUGGAGCUGGGAAAAGACAUGGAAGGGCCAUUGAUACGACUUGCUAAGUGAAUAAAGACCAUCUGGAAAGGACAAAUAAACUAGGAGAGAGUAAAAAAAUCAGUAGUUGAUCAGAGGUUUUGGAGAGAGGAUUAAUAGGAGUAAUAUGGUAUCUGGAGGUCAGUGGAGCUAUUCUAUAUGGCAUUAUAAGUGUGAAGACUUGUCAUCAUACAUUUGUUAAAACCCAAAGUAUGUGAAACACAAAGAUUUAAUCUUGACAUAAACUCUGGAAUCUAAUUUCUAAUAAUGCAUCAAUAUUGGCUUACCAAUUUUAACAAAUAUACCGUAUUAAUACUGAAAUUAAUAUUAAGAGAAACUGUGUGAGAGAGGUGUGGCCAAUAGAGACAUGAAAAACUGCACAAUAUUGUUAAUCAUUAGAAAAACACAAAUUGAAACCACUUCACACCAAUAAGAAUGGCUACUCCAAAAAAAUGUGUGUGAGAGAGAGAGAGACAGUAAGAAUUGGUGGGGACAUGAACAAAUUCAAAGCAUGUACACUGUUGGGAGUGUAAAAAUGGUGCAGCUGCUGUGGAAAAAAGUAUACUGAUUUCUCAAAAAAUUAAAAACAAAUUAUCUAGCAAUUCGGCUUGUAAGUGUAUAUCAAAAGGACUUGAAGAGAUAUUGGUGCAGGAAUGUUUACAGUAGUAUUAUUCACAAUAACCAAAACGUGAGAGAAACACAAGUGUCCACCAAAGGAUCAAUACAUAAAUAAAAGAUGCUACAUAGAUAAGUACAUACAAUGAAAUAUUGUUCAGUCUUAAAGAAGGGAGGGAAUUCUGAAACAUUUUACAACAUGGAUUAAACUUAAGGGCAUUAAUAUAAUACAAGCUACUCGUGAAAAGACAAAUACUAUAGGGUUCUAUUUAUAUGAAAAAAGUUAUGAAGUCAAUUUCAUAAAGACUAAAAUUAAAAUAAUGUCACCAAAGGCUGUGAGGAUGAGGAAAUUGGGAGGAGAUAUUUAAUGGAUGUAGAACAGGCAUAUGCAGUCUGCAGCCCACGGGCCACAUACAGCCCUGGGUAGCUAGCAUUGUGGCCCUGCAAGAUCAUAAACUUUUAACAUUAUUAUGUGAUUUUAGUGAUAUUUUUCACAAUUCAGUUGUAUGAUACUUGAAUGUGGACUUCAUAGGAGACAAUGGAACCAGGUAUUAAUUCAUCAAUUUCAGACAAGGUAAACUAUUCCACUAGUUUUAUGUUUAUGUUUCCUCUUUAGCAUUAUAAUAAAAAUGUUUUUAAAAGGAAGUUUUAUUGUUUAUAUAAUCAGCUAUAUCAUGUAUUUUAUAUGCAGCCAAAGACAAUUUUUGUCCCAUGUGGCCCAGGCAAGCCAAGAGAUUGGAUACCCAUGGUAUAGAGUAUCAGUUUUACAAGAUGAAAAUUCUGGAGAUCUAUUGCCCAACAAUGUGAAUGUAUUUAAUGCUACUGAACUGUAUACUUAAAAAUUGGUUAAGAAACUGGAACAACUCAGUGGUACAUGGCUUGCUUAACAAUUAGAAACCUGGGUUCAAGCAUUGAGUCUAAUAUGUGUUGUGAUUAUUCAUCUUGAUUGUAAACUGAUUGGAUAGAGUGCCAAUCUUGUAUCUUGAAGGUGUGAUCUUGAAGGUGUUUUUAAAGACAGCUAGCAUGUGGGACAGCAAACUGAUGGGGGAGACCCUCCCCAACCAAUGAAGUGGGGACCUACAUGAACAGAAACUGGAGGAGAAAGUUCAAGAGUGAUGCUCUCUCUCCAUCUCUUUGUUUUUUGGCUACCAUGAGAGCCAUUGGCAAACCACAAAGAAAAGAGCUUUGAGGUCAGCAGCCAGUGGCAGUAGGCGCUUAUCAUUGCUGAAAUCCCAGAUGUGCUGAUCCACCCCUCAGUGGAGCUGGAGUCUUCAGGACAGACACGUGCAAAAUUCAGGCAGGUGCAGAACUGGAGUUCUUUGCCAUGUGCUGAGUUCAUGACUGGCCCAGGAAUUAGAGAAGAUGGUGAAUGAUCCUGUGGAAAGUGGAACAAUUGCAGAACCAGCUGCUGUCCCAAGGCAUCCUGAACCAAGAGGUAAAUGACAAGCUGACUUUGCUGGAGUCAAGAGACUUCCAAAUGUGAUACAAGCAGAAGCCUGAUAAGCCUUUGUGCACCGGUGCUUUCUUUUUUGGGAUGCUGACCCAAGACCAUGAAGAAGGCUGUUAAGAAGCAGCCCAAGUGCAAGGCCAUGUGGAGGAAGAGAUGCAGCCCUGUCAGUCUUUUCAGACCAGAUGAGUGCAGCACCGGCUAACUCAACUGCUGAGGGCAGCCACCUGCGUGAGUGCAGGUGAGAUCAGCAGGCAAACAAGCCAGCCCACCCACAAGAUUAUGAAAGUGAAUGAAUCCUUGUUGUUGUAAAUUACUAAGUGUAGGGUUUUAUUUUAAUGCAAUAGAUAACUGGAACACAUCUCGUAGGUUGUCACAUGCAAUAUCUAAUUUCUGAUGGGAUAUGUACAUAUAAGAUAACUAAAUAAAUAUAUAUAUUUAACUUUGAACAGGAAUCUAAUAAAAGACAGAAGUAUAUACAUAUAUACAUUGUAUAUGCAAGUCUGUAAUUUGUCUUCAGUCUUUUCUUUUUUAAUUUGACAAUGUAUCUCUUGGGGAUUUUUUCUUGUCAACAUAAAGAACACUGCCUCAUUCUUUGUAAUUAUCUAGUAUCCUAUUAAGUGGGCGUUCUAUAAUUUAUGUAGCCAUUCCCCUGCCUCUGGGUUUUACAGUGCUUCUCAUUUUAAAAAAAUUAUACAUCAUUCUGUACUGAAUAUAUUUAUACACAUAUUUCAUUGCACAUUUCUGAAUGUAACUGUAAUAUAAUUUCCCAGAAGUAAAAUUCUAAGUGUAAGGUAUAUACACACUUUAUUUUGUGAUAGAUUUUAUUUAUCAUUUUGAUAUCCAAUGAUGUUGCAGAAAUUUAUACUAACAUGAAGAGUAUAUCAGAUUGCCUGGUUCCUUUAAUCAAUGGUUAAUAAUACUAUAAAUUAUUAAAUAUUUGGAUAAUUUCCAAUCUGUCUUAAAAAGAUGCCUCAAGUUUGUUUUAAUGAGUCUUUACUUAUUAAGGAUUAUUUUGAACAAUUUUUAUAUGUCUAUGAACUAUUUAUGAUUCUGUUUUCUGUUCAUAUAUGUUGUACAUUUUUCUAUUGGAGUUUUGUGAUCGCAUUAUUUAUUUAAAAGAGUAGCUUAUGAAUUAAAAUUUUACCUUUUGUACUUAUGUACUAGGAGUACUUUUUUGUUUUAUCAAUUCUCUUUGGGCCUGUGUUCAUGAUAUGGUGCUGCUGCCCCACAGAAAACUUUCAUUUUAUGUAGAUAAGUUUAUUGGUCUUCCGUAUUUUAUUUGGAU
ensembl:lncRNA